GAUUCCAGCUGUGUCUAGUUUACUGAUUACCCACCCCUGUGUAUUUAAGUCCAACUGUUGUNAGUACUUGGAUGGGAGACCGCCUGGGAAUACCAGGUGCUGUAAGCU
rnacentral:rRNA from 1 species